rnacentral:lncRNA from 1 species
GCACCAUUAAGAAGAUCUGGUAGAGUACUAUGUCCGUCGGAUAGAUACUUCGGUAUCUAGGUCCAGGAUGUGAUUCUGUUGAACUCAAUAAGAAUAACAAGGAUCUAAUCACCUACAUAGAUGUCAUGUAGAGGUCUGACUCUGAUUAGUAGCUUAGAGCCAUAAAGUCUAAAAUUGAGUCCAUGAAGGUCAAUGGUGUAUGGACACUUGUUGAUCCACUCGAAGGGAUAAAACCCAUAGGAUGUAAGUAGAUCUUCAAUAG